rnacentral:rRNA from 1 species
AGCGAACGCUGGCGGCGUGCCUAACACAUGCAAGUCGAACGUGAAAAGGGAAACCUGAGUAAAGUGGCGUACGGGUGAGUAGCGCGUAGGUAAUCUACCCCAGAAUCUGGAAUAACCUGCCGAAAGGCGGGCUAAUACUGGAUAGAGCGAGGGAACUCGUCAGAGAGUUUUUCGGGGAAGGGAGCCCGCAAGGGCCUUCGUUCUGGGAUGAGCCCGCGUCUGAUUGGCUAGUUGGUAAGGUAACGGCUUACCAAGGCGAUGAUGAGUAGCUGGUCUGAGAGGCUGAUCAGCCCAACUGGAACUGGAACACGGUCCAGACUCCUACGGGGGGCAGCAGUGGGGAAACUUGCGCAAUGGGCGAAAGUCUGACGCAGCCACGCCGCGGGAGUGAAGAAGGCCUUCGGGUUGUAAAGCUCUGUCGGAUGGGACGAAAAUCUUCAUAGUGAAUAGCUAUGAGGACUGACGGUACCAUCAAAGGAAGCACCGGCUAACUCCGUG